AGUGUUUCAAGACAUAUUGAAAAUCAACAUUAAUGGUCCAGCAAGCUCUUCUGCCAGCUCUUCUAAAGCUCUUGGAUGAAAGUGGUGCUUAAGACUGGAACAUCCCAGAAGAAUUGUAUUCAACCUUUUUACCAACUUGUGAUCUCUUACUGAACUUUAAAAUAUGAAAGUUGAAGUUAUAUUAGUAACAAUGUUUUCUUUUACCUCCAUUCUUCCCUUAAUGGUGUUCCCCACAAUACCCCAAAAACAGAAGUGUCAGUAUCAGGAUAGGAGCACUUUUCUGGAUCUAGGGAUAGGGAUGUGCAUCUGACUACUAUGCUCAAGAAGGAACACCUCCACCCCAACCAGAUGUCUCGAUUUUUAUAGGGACAGUCCUGAUUUUUGGGUCUUUUUCUUAUAUAGGCUCCUAUUACCCCCCCACCCCCGUCUCAAUUUUUCACACUUGCUGUCUGGUCACCCUACCCCACCACUGUGACAAUCCCUUACGGUAGCUACUGGUGAGAUGGGAAAGAUUACACAGUGCUCCCUUAAAGUCUCCUACAAUCCCUUUUCCAAACAUUUUUGUUCCUUCAAUGCCCCCUUCUGUUUUGGUUAAGGGCUUUUAUAUCUCUUUUUAUAUAAAACUUUUCAUUAUCCUUGCCCUAAGUAUCCUGUUCAUGUUGUUUCUCUCCCACACCUUCCCCUUCUUAAAAUAUAACAUCCUAUUUGUUCCCUUCAACUUCCCUUUUGGAUUUGAUAGAUUCAGGGUAUAAGAGCCAAGACUGACCCAUUUUGGGGAGAGAAUGUUUGACAAAAAAUAAAGUUUCUUUUUAAGUUGUC